rnacentral:sRNA from 1 species
ACUCCACCGCUACAGCCAUUAAAGGAAAGAAUGGCUCUAUGAUCACUUUCCGUGAAAUAUCCCAAUUCUCUUUAGAAUUGACGAGCUGACGAUAAAAUUCUUAUUUAAUCAGGGGGAUGAUAAAUUUUUGUAAAAUAGUGCUGCAUCAUGUUGAACUACUUGUCGACGCGAAGUUCGCCGCUCUCUGCUAAAUGCUAAUCCACCCACCGUCUCUCAUGAUAGUCUCUCCAGGUGUAAGGGGUCAUAAACAUGGCGAUGUUUGCGACAGAACUCUUCACCUAAAUAUGGUCUAUACCUUUCAAAAUGAUAAAUAUAGAGCAUGUACAACGUACUGUUGGCACACCGUAUGUCGUUUCGAUAAUGGCAUGGUAACCAUAGUUACUGGAGGGCCUAUUCUCCUCAGGGAAGUGGACAAGUGUAGAGCUACACAUGUCCUUUUCGCUAAUUAAAAUACUGGAGGAUCUUAGAACCACACAUGGGAAGAAAGCUAUGUAUAUCCACUUUUCUGAAGAGAAAACACCAGUAAAACGACAACGCCCUUCUAUCCUGACGGUCCAACGCAUGACCCGACCAAGGGAAUUCUGCUGGAAAUGUCAGUCCUUGGCAUAUCAACUGUCACACUAAUUACUUCAUGUGUCAGUGCGCAACUACAUCUGUACGCUGACCUACAUUCGUGGAGUGUUUUGAGACGGCCCCCUUGCAGUAUGAGUCAUGGUGCACACUCUGCUUUUGAUUGAUGGUGUGGUUAAAGAUAACCCGCAGGUCACAGAAAUGUUUUGUUUGUCUGUUUGACGGGCCUGCUUACAGAAGGCAAGAACAUGUUUGGCGGGGACCGUAGUUCUCCCCGACACGAGAGCGGCGCUUUGUGUAUUCCAUCAGACGGCGUCACGCUCUCAACCUAUUCCUAUUGAAUGAAAGAACUGUAUUUACAUUAGGAUGAAUUCCCAAUAAAGUUCAUUACUCCCAGUUAUAUUUCAGACUUUUACCCCCAACCCCGACCGUUGUGUUUUAGUACCUACUUUUGUUGAUAGUGGCCGGGAUACAGUCUUGAAUUAUCCAGGGAACGCCAUGAACUCGGUUAAUUAAUAUACAAAUUUAUUGUCAUUAAAAAUGUAUCGUUAU